rnacentral:rRNA from 1 species
UAGUCAUAUGCUUGUCUCAAAGAUUAAGCCAUGCAUGUCUAAGCACAAGCCGAUUAAUGGUGAAGCCGCGAAUGGCUCAUUACAACAGCCAUAGUUUCUUAGAUCUUACUUUUCUACUUGGAUAACUGUGGUAAUUCUAGAGCUAAUACACGCAAACAAGCUCAGACCUUACGGAAUGAGCGCAUUUAUUAGAACAAAAACCAAUCGGGCUUCGGUCCGUCAUUUGGUGAAUCUGAAUAACUUUGCUGAUCGCACGGUCUUCGUACCGGCGGCAUAUCUUUCAAAUGUCUGCCUUAUCAACUUUCGAUGGUAGUUUAUGCGCCUACCAUGGUUGUAACGGGUAACGGAGAAUAAGGGUUCGACUCCGGAGAGGGAGCCUGAGAAACGGCUACCACAUCCAAGGAAGGCAGCAGGCACGCAAAUUACCCACUCCCGGCACGGGGAGGUAGUGACGAAAAAUAACGAGACGGCUCGCUAUGCGGUCCGUCAUCGGAAUGGGUACAAUUUAAAUCCUUUAACGAGGAUCUAUU